GACGAACGCUGGCGGCGUGCUUAGCACAUGCAAGUCGAACGGAACAGCCCUGCUGUUGUUGCGUGCUCGAGUGUCGAGAGGGUGAGUCACACGUGUGUAACUUGCCCUUGAAUUUGGGAUAACUUCAGGAAACUACAGCUAGUACCGGCUAGGAGCACCUGCUGCAUGGUGGAGGUUGGAUCGUUUCGUCUGUGGGGCAUGGGCUCGAGGCUUAUCAGCUUGUUGGGGUGGUAGUGGCGUACGAAGGCCUUGACGGGUAGCCGGCCUGGGGGGGUGAGCUGCCACAUCGCGACUGAGAUGCGGCCCAGACUCAUCCGGGAGGCAGCGGUGGGGAAUAUUGCACAAUGGGCGGAAGCCUGAUGCAGCAACGCCGCGUGCGGGAUGACGGGCUGCGUGUCGUAAACCGCUGUCGCCUGUGACGAAGCGUGAGUGACGGUAAUGGGCAAAGAAGCACCGGCUAACUACGUG
rnacentral:rRNA from 1 species